rnacentral:rRNA from 1 species
AUUGAACGCUGGCGGCAGGCCUAACACAUGCAAGUCGAACGGUAACAGGAAGAAGCUUGCUUCUUUGCGGACGAGUGGCGGACGGGUGAGAAAUGUCUGGGAAACUGCCUGAUGGAGGGGGAUAACUACUGGAAACGGUAGCUAAUACCGCGUAACGUCGCAAGACCAAAGAGGGGGACCUUCGGGCCUCUUGCCAUCGGGUGUGCCCAGGUGGGAUUAGCUAGUAGGUGGGGUAACGGCUCACCCAGGCGACGAUCCCUAGCUGGUCUGAGAGGAUGACCAGCCACACUGGAACUGAGACACGGUCCAGACUCCUACGGGAGGCAGCAGUGGGGAAUAUUGGACAAUGGGCGCAAGCCUGAUGCAGCCAUGCCGCGUGUAUGAAGAAGGCCUUCGGGUUGUAAAGUACUUUCAGCGGGGAGGAAGGGAGUAAAGUUAAUACCGUUGCUCAUUGACGUUACCCGAAGAAGAAGCACCGGCUAACUCCGUG